UCGAUGGGGAACCCACUGCAUACUGUGCAGUAUCCUAAGCUGAAUACAUAGGCUUAGAGAAGCGAACCCGGAGAACUGAACCAUCUAAGUACCCGGAGGAAAAGAAAUCAACCGAGAUUCCGCAAGUAGUGGCGAGCGAACGCGGAGGAGCCUGUACAUGAUAAUUGUUGAGAUAGAAGAACAAGCUGGGAAGCUUGACCAUAGUGGGUGAUAGUCCCGUAUUCGAAAUCUGAUCAAUGGUACUAAGCGUACGACAAGUAGGGCGGGACACGAGAAAUCCUGUCUGAAUAUGGGGGGACCAUCCUCCAAGGCUAAAUACUCAUCAUCGACCGAUAGUGAACCAGUACCGUGAGGGAAAGGCGAAAAGAACCCCGGGAGGGGAGUGAAAUAGAACCUGAAACCUGAUGCAUACAAACAGUGGGAGCGGACGUGUUCCGUGACUGCGUACCUUUUGUAUAAUGGGUCAACGACUUACGUUCAGUAGCGAGCUUAACCGGAUAGGGGAGGCGUAGGGAAACCGAGUCUUAAUAGGGCGACUAGUUGCUGGGCGUAGACCCGAAACCGAGUGAUCUAUCCAUGGCCAGGAUGAAGGUGCGGUAACACGCACUGGAGGUCCGAACCCACGCAUGUUGCAAAAUGCGGGGAUGAGCUGUGGAUAGGGGUGAAAGGCUAAACAAACUCGGAGAUAGCUGGUUCUCCCCGAAAACUAUUUAGGUAGUGCCUUGAGAAUGAGACUGAUGGGGGUAAAGCACUGUUAUGGCUAGGGGGUUAUUGCAACUUACCAACCCAUGGCAAACUAAGAAUACCAUCAAGUUGCUCCUCGGGAGACAGACAGCGGGUGCUAACGUCCGUUGUCAAGAGGGAAACAACCCAGACCGCCAGCUAAGGUCCCAAAUGAUAGAUUAAGUGGUAAACGAAGUGGGAAGGCCCAGACAGCCAGGAUGUUGGCUUAGAAGCAGCCAUCAUUUAAAGAAAGCGUAAUAGCUCACUGGUCGAGUCGUCCUGCGCGGAAGAUGUAACGGGGCUCAAAUCUAUAACCGAAGCUGCGGAUACGUGUUUACACGUAUGGUAGGGGAGCGUUCUGUAGGCCGAAGAAGGUGCAUUGAGAAGUGUGCUGGAGGUAUCAGAAGUGCGAAUGUUGACAUGAGUAGCGAUAAAGCGGGUGAAAAGCCCGCUCGCCGAAAGCCCAAGGUUUCCUACGCAACGUUCAUCGGCGUAGGGUGAGUCGGCUCCUAAGGCGAGGCAGAAAUGCGUAGUCGAUGGGAAACAGGUUAAUAUUCCUGUACUUUGAUUCAAUGCGAUGUGGGGACGGAGAAGGUUAGGUUAGCAAACUGUUGGAAUAGUUUGUUUAAGCCGGUAGGUGGAAGACUUAGGCAAAUCCGGGUCUUCUUAACACCGAGAAGUGAUGACGAGGCACCAAGGUGCUGAAGUAACCGAUACCACGCUUCCAGGAAAAGCCACUAAGCUUCAGUUGAAUCAGAACCGUACCGCAAACCGACACAGGUGGCAGGAUGAGAAUUCUAAGGCGCUUGAGAGAACUCAGGAGAAGGAACUCGGCAAAUUGAUACCGUAACUUCGGGAGAAGGUAUGCCCUUCGAUGUUAAGCCCUUGCGGUGUAAGCAUUGGAGGGUCGCAGAGAAUCGGUGGCUGCGACUGUUUAUUAAAAACACAGCACUCUGCUAACACGAAAGUGGACGUAUAGGGUGUGACGCCUGCCCGGUGCUGGAAGGUUAAUUGAAGAUGUGCAAGCAUCGGAUCGAAGCCCCAGUAAACGGCGGCCGUAACUAUAACGGUCCUAAGGUAGCGAAAUUCCUUGUCGGGUAAGUUCCGACCCGCACGAAUGGCGUAACGAUGGCCACACUGUCUCCUCCUGAGACUCAGCGAAGUUGAAGUGGUUGUGAAGAUGCAAUCUACCCGCUGCUAGACGGAAAGACCCCGUGAACCUUUACUGUAGCUUUGCAUUGGACUUUGAAGUCACUUGUGUAGGAUAGGUGGGAGGCUUAGAAGCAGAGACGCCAGUUUCUGUGGAGCCGUCCUUGAAAUACCACCCUGGUGACUUGAGGUUCUAACCCAGACCCGUAAUCCGGGUCGGGGACCGUGCAUGGUAGGCAGUUUGACUGGGGCGGUA
rnacentral:rRNA from 2 species